ensembl:lncRNA
CUCUUUCUGCCCAUUAGGGUUUUGCGAACGAACGGGGCUCGUUUGGCUGCCCAGAGCAGACUCUGGGAAGAGUAUGGCAGACUUUCCAUCCCGGACAGGAGACUGCCUGUCUUUGCAUCUCGGCUCUCUCCUGCCUUAGGCCUGCUCUUUCUUUCUGUCAGGGCAAAAUGGGGACAAAGUGCCAAGGCCCUGGGUGGGCGCAGGGCAGAGCGCUGUGCUCUUCGAGGUUUUAUUUAUUCAAUGCAGCAGCUAAACCAAGGCAAGCAGCCUGGCUUUCCUUCUCAUUGUUCCACUACAGACUUUUAAAUUAAUGUGAGAUGGCUUCUAAAAGACCUUAACACACAGCCAAAUGCAAAUAAAGAGUCAGGUACUGCCUGUUAAAAGUACGUGGCAUGAAGCACUGUGGGCGUUGCAUCUGGAAAGACAGAGACAUGACAAGAACAGCAUCAGUGGUUGCCUCAACCCAUUCCCUGUUGUCAAAGAUUGCAGUGGAACCUGAACUGGAUGUCAUAUGACUGGAUCACAGAAAACAUCCACAGAAAAGCCCAUGGACAUAAUCUCUUCUCCAUUCAGAGGAGAUCUGCAGUCAGAUGCCAUGACAGCAGAGUUCAGUUCACCAGAAAAACAGGACCUUCUAAAAUUCUGCUGAGAACUACCUUGUUAUCAAGUGCAAGCAAAGCAAAAAACAAAAAGCUUAAAUAUUCACAUAAAAGUGAUGCAACAUCAAGAAUAAUAAUAGCAUAUAGAUAUAAUUUCUUCCUCUUUAACUGUAAAGUAUUAUUUAUAAUUUAUAAGUUUUUUCACUUGCCCUGUCUGCUGUUUCUAAAAGUAAAGCAAGGUUAAAUGCAGCUGGUAACUCUGAAAGCCAAGAACCAAUCUGUCAACUGAAUUCAGAAGGAUGACAAAGCAGAGGCAUAAUAUUAAAACAAUUGGAAGAUCCAUUGCAAUUAAUUAUAAAGAAUGUCCUUACAGUUGAGCUCAAGAACAGAGAGUAUUGUUGUAGUAUUGUACAGUCAUACAGCAGGCAAUAUAUCCUAAUUGGCUUUAUAGCUAAUGAAGAAUGACACAGAAUGCAAAUCUCUUAUUAAUCUGGAUUAAACAGAGAAAACAAACUUGUUUUAAACCUAGCCUUAUAAACAGAAGGUCUAAUCCUGAGCCUGCUUAUAUAGGGGUGUUAAACUAAAUACAGUAGGAAUGGUGUGUUUGCUCAGUGGUGGAGAACAAAGCAGGAGGCAGCCCUGCACACGGCCAGUGAGGGGGUUACUCUUUGCAGUGAAAUAUGAGUCACGGGAUCACACACACAAUUAAUAAGCCAAAAUCAACACAGGCGGGAACAUUAGGCUCAUUUGUUUAAUUAUUCACUACAGGCAAGGUCUGUUGCUCAUUUGAUUUCAGAAUCUGGGCAGCAUCAUUUUGCACUGGAUUGGUCCCCAUUCAGAUCUGCCUCUAGACCAAACAAGGGAGUUUCUGAUCCAAGCAAUGGCCACAUCUAAGAGCUUUGGAUAAAGUAGUAUUUGACUUUUGUCUAGGAGUUACAGAACUGUCUGCAAGGUAUAAUGGCUUAAACUGACACAUGCCAAAGGAUCACUAAACUUUCAACAGCUGUAUUACGUAUCAAGAAGCAUUUUUAUAUAAAGCAUUCACAAGAAAAACAAUAACUAAAAUCAGAUUAAUUCAAACACUCAGGAAUUCUGUGAGAAUCUUGAUUAUUGUAUUUUGAACAAUAUUUAUGUCAUUAAAACAUCAUUUUGACUACAAGGAAAUAUUUAAUGCAGAGGUGUCAGUGGUAACAGCAGUUUAAAUGGAGUAUUUUUAUCACAUCUAUAGGAAAGUUUUGAAAAGAUAAAGAGUAUUGGUUUUGAUCAUCAGAAUUUGUGUGGCUGGAGACAAUUUUAUUCUGUGACAUUGUUCCAAAGACUUGUGUUCCACUCACUGUGAGCCAAAAGAUGCUCACCCUUAAUAAUUAGUCAGGAAACUGAACAGUAAUCUAUCUGUAAGCCAUCCCUACAGGGCAGUAAUUAUUUUGCACAAAGAGAAACUAAGGUAUCAUUUAUCUUUUGACCAUUGAACAAUGCCUGAUAAGAACCCAACAUUGAAUUUUACUAUUCAUUUAUUUUCUAAAGGAAAGGUGAAAUAAGCUAGUGUCCCUUGGUAUCCAGUAGGAUCUGGUCACCAAACUAAAUGCAUCAGAGAACUGAUGGCAAAUGUCAAGCAUCAGCUUUUCUGCAACAAUGAUUACCUAGAUAAAACUGUUACUAGCUCAAUAUGUACAAGACAAAGCCGAGUUAAAAGGAAACACUGCAUUAUGUUCUGGUGAACGCAGUCAGGCACUUAGUGCAUGUCUGGAUGUUCAGGAGUCCUGACCUCUCUCAGCUGGUCUGUGGAUUUCAGUAUUUAAGUAGCUGAGCAGGAGCUUGCAGGCUCAGCACUUCUGUGCAUCAAGCCACCUGUUGAAGAGCCUAAAUAUAGUCCUCUUAGCUUAACCUCAGGCUUGACAACCUUGGCCAUUACAAACUGCUAUUGCACCUCUAGCAGUUAUUCAAAAAGCAGUUCAAGGAUCCUGUGGGUCAGGAAAUUAGCAGGAAGACAACCGCAGCUCUCUCCUUGUGGAGAGAAAGGCAAAGCUGAAUGAAUUAGCAAAUAAUAUAAUGAGAUUUGGCAAAUAGCUGAAGCGUGAGGAACCACCGUGUUACCACUUAACACUAAAGCUGAUGCCUGGCUGAAGCUUGCCACUAAAGAGCUAAUGCAAAAUGAGCUGUAAACACUUCUUUUAGUGGCUGUGUCAUGUUUAGGCUACCAAAGGAUAGAAAUCUAACUGCAGUGCAUAGCUCAAAGGUGGAAACACAUAGAAUUUUCCUACUGAAUAUAUCUCUUUGUCUGUCCUGGUAAACAUUGAUUUGGUUAGGGAGCUGAAAAAGGAACCAGAGAACAGAUUUUCAUGAUUAAAAUAAAUCAGGUAGUCUCUAAGCUCUAAAGAUGGAA